rnacentral:sRNA from 1 species
ACUGUUAAAACACCGGUGCUGAUUUGACAGGAGUUAGACAGGAAUAUAGCUACAAUGAGGUAUUUGGAUCGACGUUGUUGGCAUGCUGUUCCCGAUCAGGGUCAGCAGCACUGCUUGGGUCAAUAAAACCGUCAGGAUGUAGGAUAUCUUGCACCCGGAUUCUGCUGGCACAAGGAAAACUACGUUUGUCAGAAGAGAAAUUACAACCACUGGGUAAACGACGUUGUUAACGUAAUAUCUCGACAGGCGCUUUAAGAUCACCUUGAAUUCCACCUGAGAAAACUCUUCACCAUUUUCCGUCAAAUUUUGCUUGCUUCCACGCAAAGAAUGCAAAACCCAUUCCCCGUUCUUUUUUAAAUUUUUGGUGCUUUCUGAAACACUGUUAAAAGUAACGGCUUUAUUGGUGAAGGCGAAACUCGUGACCUCCACCGAACACGUCUGGUAGUCGAAUGGGUAAUAAAGGACGUUGAAAUCACAAUGAGUGACGUAAAUGCCAGGCGGUUCCCAGCGAACCUCACCGGUAUGCUUCACUUUGAAAAAUAUCUCAUCAUGGCCUAGUGGACUCAUUCCUUCGACACUGAAACAAAUGUUAUUUUUAAUUGAAUAAAUAGGGUGAACCAUCAGAUUUACGCGUUUAGAAAAAAGUCUUUUUUUGUUAAUGUAGGAGUAUCUGCACACAUUUCCAUUUCUAUAAUAUUCUUUAUGAAGAAUAUGUAAUAUAUAUUAUACACAUUACGAGUUAUCAAUGAUGAGUUCUGGGCGCCAGAUUUUGUCCUGCUUGGUGUAAAUAUAUUCUAUGUCGCCCUUGGUGGAGGCAUUCCAAGUCAACCGAGGAUCUUCCCAAGUCUGCAAAACAUUGUUAAUAUGCUUAUAACAGAACAAUAGUUUUGCAAUAUGUACAUAUGAUAUGAAAUUUUCUUAACGUCAAUAUUAUUAUCAUUUAUAGAUUAUAUUGUUCUAUGUCAAAUGGCCUUUUCGAUAUUAUUAAAACUCAUUCUUUGGU